rnacentral:lncRNA from 1 species
GUGUUGGUGGUUGCUAAAAAUGGUCUACUUAAGAUGACUGGGAUGUGACCUUUUGGAUUUGACACUGGUUCAGUUUCUAGGAUCACAAAAUUUACAGGGUAAAUGAAAUCAUUGGAUUUGACACUUGAUUAGCACAUCCUCCACAACUUCCUUGAAAAUUCUCACUGAUCGGUCUGUCAAUUGCAAUGUAAUUUUUGUAGGCUUUAA